AUUUCUAGCAUCUACAUUAGUUUAUUCUCCUCAAAUGCACGUGCAGGAAUCACUAAGGUUGGAAAAGACCUCCAAGAUCACUAAGUCCAACCCCAUCCCACCACCCACGUCCCACAGUGCCACAUCCCCACGGCUCUGGGACACCUCCAGGUGACCCCACCACUUCCCUCCCGGAGGAGGGACGGUCACCUCCUGCUCCUGCUGGCUGCUCUCCCGCUGACACAAGCCGAGGUGCCGUUGGCCUCCUUGGCCACCUGAGCACACUGCUGGCUCACGUUCAGCCGGUCCCUGAAACGAGCCCUUACGGAACCCAAAAGGUUCCAUCCCAAGCCAGACCUCAGGCUGGCACUCCCCACGCUUCACACCGUAAAACACUAUUUAGGAGCUAACACAACAAAGCUCUUCCCCACCGACCGAUCUGAGGGAAACACAGCCCUCCUACCCCCUCGACGCCGGCCGCGGAGGCGCGCACCCCGCACUGAGCCGUGCCGAUCGCCUCACCUGAGACACGCCGCUCCGCCAGGCACGGGCCCACCACGCCGCUGGCCAGCAGCGCUACGGCGGCCGCGGCGGGACACACCAUUCACACCAAUCGCACGGCGCGGCGGCGGAACUGCGGCGGCUGUUCCGCCGUGCGCAUGCGCAGGGCGUAAGAUAAGUCGCGGCCGCGAGCAUGGCGGCUGUAGUAGGAGCGGUGGCGCGAACUUUGGCCUGAGGGAUGAGGUCAGUGGGCGUGGCGGGAGUGAGCUUGGUGAGCUUGGUGAGCUUUUCCAACCUGGGCGAUUCUAUGGCCGAGCCUCCACGUGGUUACCAGUUUUACCUCAGGAUAGCGAUGAAGUUCAGGUAAACUAUCCAGGAUUGUCUGACGUUAUGGAAGACUUUCAAGAAAUGUAUUGA
rnacentral:lncRNA from 1 species